ACCGGCGGCCCGAGUGGUGAUUCGUGAUUAUUGGGUCUAAAGGGUCCGUAGCCGGUUUGGUCAGUCCUCCGGGAAAUCUGACAGUUCAACUGUUAGGCUUUCGGGGGAUACUGCCAGACUUGGAACCGGGAGAGGUAAGAGGUACUACAGGGGUAGGAGUGAAAUCUUGUAAUCCCUGUGGGACCACCUGUGGCGAAGGCGUCUUACCAGAACGGGAUCGACGGUGAGGGACGAAAGCUGGGGGCAC
rnacentral:rRNA from 1 species